rnacentral:rRNA from 1 species
AUUGAACGCUGGCGGCAGGCCUAACACAUGCAAGUAGAGCGGAGCGGCGGACGGGUGAGUAAUACCUAGGAAUCUGCCUGAUAGUGGGGGAUAACGUUAGGAAACUGACGCUAAUACCGCAUACUAUGAGAUGACCCUGGGUCGGAUUAGCUAGUUGGGGAGGUAAUGGCUCACCAAGGCGACGAUCCGUCACUGGUCUGAGAGGAUGAUCAGUCACACUGGAACUGAGACACGGCCCAGACUCCUACGGGAGGCAGCAGUGGGGAAUAUUGGACAAUGGGCGAAAGCCUGAUCCAGCCAUGCCGCGUGUGUGAAGAAGGUCUUCGGAUUGUAAAGCACUUUAAGUUGGGAGGCGUUACCGACAGAAUAAGCACCGGCUAACUCUGUGCCAGCAGCCGCGGUAAUAC